rnacentral:rRNA from 1 species
UACGAAGGGGGCGAGCGUUGUUCGGAAUCACUGGGCGUAAAGCGUGCGUAGGCGGCGAUAAAAGUUAGAAGUGAAAGCCCAGGGCUCAACCUUGGAAUUGCUUUUAAAACUAGAUUGCUCGAAUCUCGGAGAGGAUAGCGGAAUUGUCAGUGUAGCAGUGAAAUGCGUAGAUAUUGACAGGAACACCAGUGGCGUAAGCGGCUAUCUGGACGAGUAUUGACGCUGAGGCACGAAAGCGUGGGGAUCAAACAGG